UUAAUACAAGAUGGCAUCAUGAGUCCGCAUGUUCACAUGAUUAAAGGUAUUCCGGUAGACGAUGGGGAUGCGUUCCAUUAGAUAGUAGGCGGGGUAACGGCCCACCUAGUCUUCGAUGGAUAGGGGUUCUGAGAGGAAGGUCCCCCACAUUGGAACUGAGACACGGUCCAAACUCCUACGGGAGGCAGCAGUGAGGAAUAUUGGUCAAUGGGCGAGAGCCUGAACCAGCCAAGUAGCGUGAAGGAUGACUGCCCUAUGGGUUGUAAACUUCUUUUAUAAAGGAAUAAAGUCGGGUAUGCAUACCCGUUUGCAUGUACUCUAUGAAUAAGGAUCGGCUAACUCCGUGCCAGCAGCCGCGGUAAUACGGAGGAUCCGAGCGUUAUCCGGAUUUAUUGGGUUUAAAGGGAGCGUAGAUGGAUGUUUAAGUCAGUUGUGAAAGUUUGCGGCUCAACCGUAAAAUUGCAGUUGAUACUGGAUAUCUUGAGUGCAGUUGAGGCAGGCGGAAUUCGUGGUGUAGCGGUGAAAUGCUUAGAUAUCACGAAGAACUCCGAUUGCGAAGGCAGCCUGCUAAGCUGCAACUGACAUUGAGGCUCGAAAGUGUGGGUAUCAAACAGGAUUAGAUACCCUGGUAGUCCACACGGUAAAC
rnacentral:rRNA from 1 species